AGAGUUUGAUCAUGGCUCAGAUUGAGCGCUGGCGGCAGGCCUAACACAUGCAAGUCGAGCGGAUGAAGGGAGCUUGCUCCUGGAUUCAGCGGCGGACGGGUGAGUAAUGCCUAGGAAUCUGCCUGGUAGUGGGGGAUAACGUCCGGAAACGGGCGCUAAUACCGCAUAUGUCCUGAGGGAGAAAGUGGGGGAUCUUCGGGCCUCACGCUAUCAGAUGAGCCUAGGUCGGAUUAGCUAGUUGGUGGGGUAAGGGCCUACCAAGGCGACGAUCCGUAACUGGUCUGAGAGGAUGAUCAGUCACACUGGAACUGAGACACGGUCCAGACUCCUACGGGAGGCAGCAGUGGGGAAUAUUGGACAAUGGGCGAAAGCCUGAUCCAGCCAUGCCGCGUGUGUGAAGAAGGUCUUCGGAUUGUAAAGCACUUUAAGUUGGGAGGAAGGGCAGUAGGUUAAUACCUUGCUGUUUUGACGUUACCAACAGAAUAAGCACCGGCUAACUUCGUGCCAGCAGCCGCGGUAAUACGAAGGGUGCAAGCGUUAAUCGGAAUUACUGGGCGUAAAGCGCGCGUAGGUGGUUCAGCAAGUUGGAUGUGAAAUCCCCGGGCUCAACCUGGGAACUGCAUCCAAAACUACUGAGCUAGAGUACGGUAGAGGGUGGUGGAAUUUCCUGUGUAGCGGUGAAAUGCGUAGAUAUAGGAAGGAACACCAGUGGCGAAGGCGACCACCUGGACUGAUACUGACACUGAGGUGCGAAAGCGUGGGGAGCAAACAGGAUUAGAU
rnacentral:rRNA from 1 species